UACGGAGGGUGCAAGCGUUGUUCGGAAUUACUGGGCGUAAAGCGCGCGUAGGCGGCUCUUUAAGUCUCACUGUGAAAGACCGGGGCUCAACCCCGUGCGAGCAGGGGAUACUGGAGGGCUGGAGACCGGUAGAGGCCAGCGGAAUUUCGGGUGUAGCGGUGGAAUGCGUAGAUAUCCGAAAGAACACCGGAGGCGAAGGCGGCUGGCUGGGCCGGGUCUGACGCUGAGGUGCGAAAGCGUGGGGAGCGAACAGG
rnacentral:rRNA from 1 species